AAAAAAAAAAAAGAAUUAUGUGGACUGUCAUGAUUUAUGGUCAAAUUGAUGAUCUGUUUCGCGCUGUGUCAGUUUUGUUGGCGGCGAAUGCGCAGAACAUCGUGGAGGCAGAGGGCGUUUCCAGUUGCCACGUCUGUUUCCAGUCAUUGCCCUUUCCCAAUUCCCUCCGCCUCAUUUCCCCGUUCUCUCUUGCUUCGUUUCAAUCGUCCCCAUAAUCUAACCUACCUAUCGUCUUCUUUACUCGGAAACCAUGAAUAUUUUCAGGUUCGCCGGCGAUAUGACCCACUUGAUCAGUAUUUUAAUUCUUCUUCUCAAAAUGUAUGCUACUAAAUCCUGCUCGGGAAUUUCUCUCAAGACUCAGGAGCUGUAUGCCAUUGUUUUUCUGGCCCGGUAUUUGGAUCUAUUCACGGAUUUCAUAUCUAUCUAUAACACUGUGAUGAAGCUGAUUUUUAUAGCAAGCUCUCUGGCAAUUGUUUGGUGUAUGAGGCUGCAUCCAACCGUGAGGCGGUCAUAUGAUAAAGUUCUUGACACUUUUCGUCAUUAUUUUCUUGUUGCUGCAUGUUUCAUUCUCGCCCUUUUAGUGAACGAGAAGUUUGGGUUUCAAGAGAUCUUUUGGGCGUUUUCAAUAUACAUGGAGGCCGUAGCAAUUCUUCCUCAAUUAGUUUUAUUGCAACGAAGUGGGAAUGUGGACAAUUUAACCAGUCAUUAUGUCUUCUUUCUUGGAGCUUAUCGUGCACUCUACAUCCUCAACUGGAUCUACCGAUACUUCACAUACACACACUUCAAUCGGUGGAUAGCUUUCAACGCUGGCCUGGUUCAGACAGCUUUAUAUGCUGAUUUUUUUUACUACUACUACAUUAGCUGGAGAAACAAUGCGAAGCUUCGGUUGCCAGCUUGAUUAGAUCUGGGUUCAGGGUAUGAUAUUAUGGAGCUUGAGAUCCAGCAAAGCUUUUACAUGGUAGGUAAACUUGGCUUGGGAGUAGGGAUAGAACACCUAACUUCAAUCAUCACAAACUCCUUUGUUUCUGUGUAGGGUACCACGGUGUAUCAUUGGACAACUCUCAUACUUUAAACUGCAGCUACCGCUUAUCAAAGCCAAAGAAGAAUCAGUAUGUCUGAUCUGAAGAUAAGGCUGAUUUAGGUGUAUCGGAGGAAGAACAUCUAGAGAUAAACGAAUCAGAGUCAUUUUGUGUUCUGAAAAGAGAGAGUUUCUGUAAAAGACAACUUUGAAUUUUGAAAUGGUUGGAUGUAUAGUGAAAUGUAAGGUUUGUUGAACUGAACUAAUGGUCAUGCCUACUAAGGAGGGCUAUUCUACUACAUUUGAGUUUCUUUUUUUGCAGUUCAAGUUAGUGGUAUGGGAAGUGAAGGCUAUGAAUCGAGUCUUCUGAGGUGAAAGUUGUGAAGACCCCCACUGGUUAAAGCAAAGAGCAGAGGCCUACCAAAGUGCGUUGCCAAUCCCAAAAAGCUUCACCGUUCUUCUCAAUUCAUGAUUGCAAGUAUGAAUCCCUUUUCAAGUUUUCAACCCCAGGCCAGUCCUUGCCUUGCUUUGAAUCCUGUUCCACUACUUUCAAAUUUCUGUCUUCUCUUUGUCAUUUUUUAACAACUAUUAGUUUGGAAUUGAGGAAAGGGUUCAACUAAAGAAGAAUAACCAGAAAAGCUAAAUAGGGAAAGGCCAAAAAGAGCCAAAUAUUAAAACUUUUGGCUUGUCUGUGUCUGCAUGUGAAUGUAAAUUGAUGUCACCGAUGGAUUGAAGCAUGCUUAGUGCCUUCAUUAUAAUCAUUAAAGGAUGUCUUAUUUAACAAAUACAAAGAUUAGAAGGAAUAUUGUGGGA